rnacentral:rRNA from 1 species
GCGGCAGGCCUUUACAUGCAAGUCGAGGGGCAGCAUUUACUUCGGUAAAUGGCGACCGGCGCACGGGUGAGUAACGCGUAUGCAACCUACCUUUAACUGGGGCAUAGCUCGAGGAAACUCGAAUUAAUUCCCCAUAGUACAUUGUAAUAUCUCAUGAUAUAAAUGUUAAAGAUUUAUCGGUUAAAGAUGGGCAUGCGUCUGAUUAGUUUGUUGGUAAGGUAACGGCUUACCAAGACUACGAUCAGUAGGGGGUCUGAGAGGAUGAUCCCCCACACUGGUACUGAGACACGGACCAGACAUCUACGGAUGGCAGCAGUAAGGAAUAUUGGGCAAUGGGCGCAAGCCUGACCCAGCCAUGCCGCGUGCAGGAUGACGACCCUAUGGGUUGUAAACUGCUUUUAUAUAGGAAGAAAAUACUCUUGCGAGAGGAUCUGACGGUACUAUAUGAAUAAGGACCGG